rnacentral:tRNA from 1 species
GCGGGGGUUGCAGAGACUGGUCAAAUGCAUGGGACUUAAGAUCCCAUCCCUUAGGGGUUCGUGGGUUCGAAUCCCACCCCCCGCA